GGACCAGUGGUGCAAUGGGUAACACAUCUGACUAUGGAUCAGAAGACUGUAGGUUCAACUCCUGCCUGGCUCA